GACGAACGCUGGCGGCGUGCUUAACACAUGCAAGUCGAACGGAAAGGCCCUGCUUUUGUGGGGUGCUCGAGUGGCGAACGGGUGAGUAACACGUGAGUAACCUGCCCUUGACUUUGGGAUAACUUCAGGAAACUGGGGCUAAUACCGGAUAGGAGCUCCUGCUGCAUGGUGGGGGUUGGAAAGUUUCGGCGGUUGGGGAUGGACUCGCGGCUUAUCAGCUUGUUGGUGGGGUAGUGGCUUACCAAGGCUUUGACGGGUAGCCAGCCUGAGAGGGUGACCGGCCACAUUGGGACUGAGAUACGGCCCAGGCUCCUACGGGAGGCAGCAGUGGGGAAUAUUGCACAAUGGGCGGAAGCCUGAUGCAGCAACGCCGAGUGCGGGAUGACGGCCUUCGGGUUGUAAACCGCUUUCGCCUGUGACGAAGCGUGAGUGACGGUAAUGGGUAAAGAAGCACCGGCUAACUACGU
rnacentral:rRNA from 1 species